UAGCAAGUUCUAAUAAUAAAAAAAAUUAAAAAAUCAAAACAAAAACAUUAUCCAUUUUAUUGCAUAUGAAUGAUUGAACUCUUCUUGGUGGACACUGUUUUAGAUGUAGUGAGAAGACAAUAAGUGUCUAUCAUUUUAAAAUCAAAUCUAUAAAUUAAAUUGAAGGGGAUAAUUUUGUUAAAUACAUUCUAUUAUUAAUCCCUCAUAACAUUUUCAAUUGAUAAUAUUUUCAUGUUUAAACCUAGCAGUUACAAUUGCUGGACGUGUUUUGUCCCAUGUCUCAAGAAUCAGUGUUAAGUUAAAUAUUUAAAACUAAAUGGUUGAUUGUAAUUAAACAUUUUAAAUGUAAAAUGAUUUUAAAAGUUUUGCUGUCUAGAGUGAAGUAAAGUUAACCUAAAGUAUCGAUCUCAUUAAGCUAGUAACAAUCCGAUACCAAUACCAACGUAUGGAUACAGUGGAAAUAAGUAUCUAUCCGCCCACCCCUGAAGAGAAGAAAUGAAACUGAAAGUUUCAGUAAAGUUUAGAUGAGUUAGGACGUCAUUUCAGAACAACGUGGAACAAAACAGUUUCCAUUACAAUUAUUGCUGUUGCCAGUAUUUCUCCUGCCAGGAGACAACAAAACCAGAAUGCCUCUUGAGAUGAGUGAUUUGAGGGUUGUUCUUCUGGGUAAGAGUGUGUCAGAGAACAGCCAAGUGGGAAACUUCAUCUUAGGAAGAGCAGUGUUUGACAGUGAAUCUCCUUCAGAUGAUGUAGUGCCGUACAGUGACAGAGUCCGAGGAAAACAUGUGACUGUCAUCAACACUCCUCUCCUGCUCAACCCAGAUCUCUCACUACGUCACAUCACACAGGCAGUGAAGGAGUGUUUGUCUCUGUCUGCUCCAGGACCUCACGUGAUCAUUCUGGUGCUCAAACCUGACGAGUGUUCAAGAGAAGAGAAAGUGUGCAUCGAGAUCCUGCUCAGCUGUUUCUCUGACAGAGUGUUUCAGCACACCCUGGUGCUCACGACACAAAAGCCAGACCCCACUGAGCCAAUUGAAGUCAAUGAUGUCAUAAAGGAAAUCAUUAAAAAAUGUUGUAACAGACACAACAGAUUGGAGAGAAACAGCACUCCUGAUGACCUUAUAGCCACAGUGAAGGAAAUAGUUCAGGAGAAUGAUGGAUGUUACUUGAAUUGUAACAAAUGUGAGGACUUCACUACAGACGCCACAGAAAGAGCUGUUGCCAGUAUUCCUCCUGUCAGGAGAGGAGACAACAAAACCAGAAUGCCUCUUGAGAUGAGUGAUUUGAGGGUUGUUCUUCUGGGUAAGAGUGUGUCAGAGAACAGCCAAGUGGGAAACUUCAUCUUAGGAAGAGCAGUGUUUGACAGUGAAUCUCCUUCAGAUGAUGAAGUGCCGUACAGUGACAGAGUCCGAGGAAAACAUGUGACUGUCAUCAACACUCCUCUCCUGCUCAACCCAGAUCUCUCAUUACGUCACAUCACACAGGCAGUGAAGGAGUGUUUGUCUCUGUCUGCUCCAGGACCUCACGUGAUCAUUCUGGUGCUCAAACCUGACGAGUGUUCAAGAGAAGAGAAAGUGUGCAUCGAGAUCCUGAUUCAGUAAAUAUCAU
ensembl:lncRNA